rnacentral:rRNA from 1 species
GACGAACGCUGCCGGCGUGCUUAACACAUGCAAGUCGACCGGUAAGGCCCUUCGGGGUACACGAGUUGCGAACGGGUGAGUAACACGUGGGUGAUCUGCCCUGCACUUCGGGACAAGCCUGGGGAACUGGGUCUAAUACCGGAUAGGACCACUGCCUGAAUGGGUGGUGUUGGAAAGCUUUUGCGGGGUGGGGUGGGCCCGCGGCCUAGAGGGUUAUUGGUGGGGUGGUGGCACCCCAAGGCGACGACGGGUAGCCGGCCUGAGAGGGUGACCGGCCACGAUGGGACUGAGAUACGGCCCAGACUCCUACGGGAGGCAGCAGUGGGGAAUAUUGCACAAUGGGCGCAAGGCUGAUGCAGCGACGCCGCGUGAGGGAUGACGGCCUUCGGGUUGUAAACCUCUUUCAGCACCGACGAAGCGCAAGUGACGGUAGGUGCAGAAGAAGGACCGGCCAACUACGUGCCAGCCGCCGCCGUAA